GAUGUAUCGAUUUGUUCAAGAUGAUUAUUUAUUGUCUUUUUAAUAUAAAAGUGAAGUUUUUUUAAAGAAAGGGCAGUAGUUGAGUUAUACGAAGGACUGAAAUAAACUGGAUAUUAGAAACAUUGCAAGGUCAAUAUGAUGGUGAAACAUAUUGCUGCAUUACUGGUAUUGAACUUGGUUCUAAGCUUAAAUGUUCAACUAGUAAACGCCCAGCGUGGGAUAUUCGGAACUGUUUUAGGACUUGGCACUGGGUAUGCUUUAGGGAGAGCCUUUGGUAGAGGAUUAUACGGAUAUGGAGGAUAUGACUAUCCAUACGGCGGUUAUCGAUACGGUGGCUAUCCAUACGGUAGAUAUCGAUACGGUGGCUAUCCAUACGGUGGCUAUCCAUAUGGUGGAUAUUACCAUAGACACAGAUAUGGCGGAUUUCCACACAGUCAUGGUUAUGGAUAUUGAUACGCAUUGGAACUAAGAAGUGCCUUCUAGCACUCUGUACAGUAAACUGUUCUGAACUCACAAGCUAAGUGUUAUAUGUGCUAUUAAAGCUAUAGAUAUGUA